rnacentral:lncRNA from 1 species
GAGAGGAUUACUCGUGAGAAGGUGAACGGCCAGACCGUUAAUGUUGGGAUUAACCCGUCGAAGGUUGUUGCGACGAAGCUGAAGCUUGAUAAGGACAGGAAGUCGUUGCUUGCUUGAGAGGAAGGCGAAGAGGCGUGCUUCUCUUCAAGAGAUCGAUUAGGUUUUCAAUUAUGUUUUGUUAAGUUUUGGUUAUGGUUUUACAGAGCUUAAUGCUUUUACCCUACUUUUGUUAUGACCUUUGUUUGUUUGAAGAUGAUUUUACGAUUAUGGUUUGUAGUUAUAUUUUAUGGGUGCUGUUUAAUUAGGUAGAA